rnacentral:rRNA from 1 species
UAAUACGAAGGGGGCUAGCGUUGUUCGGAAUCACUGGGCGUAAAGCGCACGCAGGCGGAUUGAUAAGUCAGGGGUGAAAUCCCGGGGCUCAACCUCGGAAUUGCCUUUGAUACUGUCUGUCUUGAGUCCGGGAGAGGUGAGUGGAAUUCCUAGUGUAGAGGUGAAAUUCGUAGAUAUUAGGAAGAACACCAGUGGCGAAGGCGGCUCACUGGCCCGGUACUGACGCUCAUGUGCGAAAGCGUGGGGAGCAAACAGGAUUAGAUACCCUGGUAGUCCACGCCGUAAACGAUGGAUGCUAGCCGUUGGGCAGCUUGCUGCUCGGUGGCGCAGCUAACGUAUUAAGCAUCCCGCCUGGGGAGUACGGUCGCAAGAUUA